rnacentral:rRNA from 1 species
UACGUAGGGUGCAAGCGUUGUCCGGAAUUAUUGGGCGUAAAGAGCUUGUAGGCGGUUUGUCGCGUCUGCUGUGAAAUUUCGGGGCUCAACCCCGAACUUGCAGUGGGUACGGGCAGACUAGAGUGUGGUAGGGGAGACUGGAAUUCCUGGUGUAGCGGUGAAAUGCGCAGAUAUCAGGAGGAACACCGAUGGCGAAGGCGGGUCUCUGGACAGUUCCUGACGCUGAGGCACGAAGGUCAGGGGAGCAAACGGG